GACGAACGCUGGCGGCGUGCUUAACACAUGCAAGUCGAACGGAAAGGCCCAGCUUUUGGGGGGUUCGAGAGGGGAGAAGGGGGGUAAAACGCGGGAGAUAUGCGCCGCUCACUGUGGUAUGACUUGAGGACACGGGGUCAUACACGGGAUGAGAGACCCUCCUGCGGGGUGGGGGGUGGAAAGUUUGGGCGGUUGGGGGUGGACUCGCGGCUUAUCAGCUUGUUGGUGGGGUAGUGGCUUACCAAGGCUUUGACGGGUAGCCGGCCUGAGAGGGUGACCGGCCACAUUGGGACUGAGAUACGGCCCAGACUCCUACGGGAGGCAGCAGUGGGGAAUAUUGCACAAUGGGCGGAAGCCUGAUGCAGCAACGCCGCGUGCGGGAUGACGGCCUUCGGGUUGUAAACCGCUUUCGCCUGUGACGAAGCGUGAGUGACGGUAAUGGGUAAAGAAGCACCGGCUAACUACGUG
rnacentral:rRNA from 1 species